rnacentral:tRNA from 1 species
GGGGAAGUAGCUCAACCCGGCAGAGCAGUGGUCUCCAAAACCGCUGGUUGCAGGUUCAACUCCUGCCUUCCCUGC